GACGAACGCUGGCGGCGUGCUUAACACAUGCAAGUCGAACGGAAAGGCCCCUUUGGGGGUACUCGAGUGGCGAACGGGUGAGUAACACGUGAGUAACCUGCCCUUGACUUCGGGAUAACUUCAGGAAACUGGGGCUAAUACCGGAUAGGAAUCCUUGCUGCAUGGUGGGGGUUGGAAAGCUUCGGCGGUUUUGGAUGGACUCGCGGCUUAUCAGCUUGUUGGUGGGGUAGUGGCUUACCAAGGCUUUGACGGGUAGCCGGCCUGAGAGGGCGACCGGCCACAGUGGGACUGAGAUACGGCCCAGACUCCUACGGGAGGCAGCAGUGGGGAAUAUUGCACAAUGGGCGGAAGCCUGAUGCAGAAACGCCGCGUGCGGGAUGACGGCCUUCGGGUUGGAAACCGCUUUCAGCAGGGGCGAAGCUUGUGGUGACGGUACCUGCAGAAGAAGCACCGGCUAACUACGUG
rnacentral:rRNA from 1 species